AUGCUGGCUUGGUUGCUACACUGGAGCUCCGUGCCCAGCAGACCUCCAGGGUGUGCAUCCACCAAAGGAGAAUCUCCGUCUGAUUUUUCUUUAUACUCAUUAAAGAUCCCAGGUGCAGACAAAGCUUUACAUACUUCUAAUUUGCAUUAUCCUUGGGAAGGAGAUAUGGGAUGCUGUUUGCUGGUAAUUUAAACCAGAGGUCACUACCAUGUAUCUUUCCACAUCCACAGUUCACACAGCACUGAUUCACCCACCGUGCUUGCAGUGAAGAGCAUUAGACUGUCCCUGUGAAAUCAGAGCCACCGGGCAGCACCAGAGCACUCCAGGACCCAGAAGAGCUGCUAUGGCUUCUGUUAGUCCACGUGUGUAUGCAGAGGGGCAUCCCUGCAUGAUUAUUUCCCCCUGAAUGGAUGUUGGUUCCUCUCCUGUACCUGGCAGCGUACCUGUUUCAACUACACAGGAGGAAAGAGGAAGGCUACGGAGCAUCCAGUGAGCUCCCCAAAAUCUUUAUUCGCUCAAUAAGCCUUAGGGAGUCUGAAAGAUUUUAUUAGCCUUAAUUACAUUUUGCUUGGGAUCAUGAGGUCAGUGGGAUUGGCGAGCUUUUGUUUUUAAAAACCUAACUUGCUUGCCAGGCGAGUUUUCCCAAGCUCUCAUUUUAUUGUGGUUUCCAGCGGGAGAUCUUGUUUCAAGGGAUAUGAUCAAAGUAAAGGACAUUUCUUCUGGGACUUAUUUUACAUAGAUUAAAUCUCAUUAUGCAACUUGCUCUUUAGUCUAUAUUCUUUUUAUAAGCUUCUGGCUAUAUGAAUGAAUUUUACAUAGUAAAGUGUAAAUUUAUUAUAAUGAAUACACUUUCUGAGUGAA